UACAGAGGUCCCAAGCGUUGUUCGGAUUCACUGGGCGUAAAGGGCGCGUAGGCGGGUACUCAAGUCUGUGGUGAAAUCCUCCGGCUCAACCGGAGAACUGCCAUGGAUACUGGGUGUCUCGAGGGUGGUAGGGGUAUGCGGAACUAUCGGUGGAGCGGUGAAAUGCGUUGAUAUCGAUAGGAACUCCGGUGGCGAAGGCGGCAUACUGGACCACUUCUGACGCUGAGGCGCGAAAGCCAGGGGAGCAAACGGG
rnacentral:rRNA from 1 species